GCCUGCGACCAUACCACGUAGAAUGCUCCCGAUCCCGUUCGAUCUCGGAAGAUAAGCUGCGUCGGGUCCGGUUAGUAUGGGCCCGGUUAGUCGGGCC
rnacentral:rRNA from 1 species